rnacentral:rRNA from 1 species
UGGGGAAUAUUGGACAAUGGGGGCAACCCUGAUCCAGCAAUGCCGCGUGUGUGAAGAAGGUCUUCGGAUUGUAAAGCACUUUCGACGGGGACGAUGAUGACGGUACCCGUAGAAGAAGCCCCGGCUAACUUCGUGCCAGCAGCCGCGGUAAUACGAAGGGGGCUAGCGUUGCUCGGAAUGACUGGGCGUAAAGGGCGUGUAGGCGGUUUACACAGUCAGAUGUGAAGUCCAGCUGCNNGUA